UGUCCUAACCCAAGAUUCUUGGGUUUUGCCUUGCAUGUCAGCUAUUACAUUUAUGAUCAACCACGCAGUAUAUAAUCAUAAUCUUUAGGAUUCAGUAAUUUCUAAAGAGUCCUAGUGUGCCUAAGAAAGCUGUUGUCCUAAAUGACUUUAUUAAUUCAGGAAAGUGAAUUCUCAAAGGUAUUAGGGCUCACUUCAAUUAAUGUACAUUAUAUUAUUUUAAGUGACCCUUUUUAACAAGAAUUGUAUGUUAGGGGUUGCUUUAAGAUCAGAGGGCUGGAGGGAUGAAUGACCUGCCAUAGGAUCACCUGCCAUAGGAUCACCUGCCAGAGGAGGUUAGAAGGUAGGAGGAUCAUCUACAAUGUCUGAGAAAAAAAGCCUGUGUCAGAGGGGGAAGGGAACAGCCCACCCAUCACUUUAAAGGACAAGAACUAAUAAACAAAUAGGUUUGAGGGGAAUUGGAUCAACAGAGGAAAUUUUAGUGUGUGGAACGUCUCUCUGUGACGCCCAUCACCCUCUGGGAGGAUCUCCAAGAUCCUCAGGCAGUGGUGGGUCCUUCUUCUGCCACCUCCUUCUCUGCUGAAGCUGUGCCGCAUGCCCUUCAUUGAAUCAAGGAGCUAACAUGCCCGCCCCAUAGCUGGACUCCGGCUGGAAAGGAACCUGCAGGGCAAGCCUGGAAGAAUAUAGGGACCAUUGCUGCUAAGAGCCUGCGAAGAAGAUGGCAGGAAAGCAGCGAGUGCUGGGAUAGCUGGACCUGUGCCAUGUGCCCAAUGAAGGUCCCCUGGCCAGACGUGAGCCAAGCAGGAUGCAUUGUUGAGUGACAUCAGGGAGAAGGAACCUCCUGCAUGGUAAGGAGGUUCAUAUUUAUCUGCACUUUAGGAUUUUAAA
rnacentral:lncRNA from 12 species